rnacentral:rRNA from 1 species
UAACUCAGUGGGCAAUCUGCCCUUCACUCUGGGACAAGCCCUGGAAACGGGGUCUAAUACCGGAUAACACUUCCACUCUCCUGGGUGGAGGUUAAAAGCUCCGGCGGUGAAGGAUGAGCCCGCGGCCUAUCAGCUUGUUGGUGAGGUAAUGGCUCACCAAGGCGACGACGGGUAGCCGGCCUGAGAGGGCGACCGGCCACACUGGGACUGAGACACGGCCCAGACUCCUACGGGAGGCAGCAGUGGGGAAUAUUGCACAAUGGGCGAAAGCCUGAUGCAGCGACGCCGCGUGAGGGAUGACGGCCUUCGGGUUGUAAACCUCUUUCAGCAGGGAAGAAGCGAAAGUGACGGUACCUGCAGAAGAAGCGCCGGCUAACUACGUGCCAGCAGCCGCGGUAAUACGUAGGGCGCAAGCGUUGUCCGGAAUUAUUGGGCGUAAAGAGCUCGUAGGCGGCUUGUCACGUCGGGUGUGAAAGCCCGGGGCUUAACCCCGGGUCUGCAUUCAUACGGCUAACUAGAGUGUGGUAGGGGAGAUCGGAAUU